rnacentral:rRNA from 7 species
GCCUACGGCCAUCCCACCCUGGUAACCGCCCCCGAUCUCGUCUGAUCUCGGAAGCUAAGCAGGUCGGCCUGGUUAGUACUUGGAUGGGAGACCUCCUGGGAAUACCGGGGUGCUGUAGGCU